AUGUCAAAGAUUCAACCAGUUAAAUCACCCACUGAUGCCGGAGACAUCCUGGAUGGAAUGGAUACUGUAUUGAAUAGUCAAUUCAUGUGCAUGGUGGAAAGGAUUCUUGAAAAUAAGGUUCAUGUUGGUGAUACGCUACAAGUUGCUCAAGAUGUAUCAUGCCUACUGCAUAGUACACCAGUCAAUGAGGCCUUUCCUAGCGACAUGUCAAAAUAUGGACGGAUUCGCUUGAAGGGAAGGAGGAUGCUGCAUGCAGCAUGCGUAGCACACCGGCAUCAUCUUGUGGCAGUACUACUAAGAGACCUGGACCUACAACGGUUGUCACAAUGGUGUGAAGUUGGAUGGCAUCGAUGCCAGUGUCAUGGUGCAAUUGAGUAA
rnacentral:rRNA from 1 species